CACGUAGGGGGCAAGCGUUGUCCGGAUUCAUUGGGCGUAAAGAGCUCGUAGGCGGUUCGAUAAGUCGGGUGUGAAACCUCCAGCUCAACCUGGAGACGCCACCCGAUACUGCCAUGGCUAGAGUCCGGUAGGGGACCACGGAAUUCCUGGUGUAGCGGUGGAAAUGCGCAGACUAUCAGGAGGAACACCGGUGGCGAAGGCGGCAUCCUGGACCGGUAUUGACGCUGAGGAGCGAAAGCCAGGGGAGCAAACGGG
rnacentral:rRNA from 1 species